AGUAGGAUUGGGUGUAGCUCAGUGGUACAGCACUUGCCUAGCAUGCAAGAGGCCCUGGGUUUGAUCCCCAGCAUUACUU